UACGUAGGGUGCAAGCGUUGUCCGGAAUUACUGGGCGUAAAGCGCACGUAGGCGGCUUUGCAAGUUAGAGGUGAAAGCCCGGGGCUCAACUCCGGAAUUGCCUUUAAAACUGCAUCGCUAGAAUUGUGGAGAGGUAAGUGGAAUUCCGAGUGUAGAGGUGAAAUUCGUAGAUAUUCGCAAGAACACCAGUGGCGAAGGCGGCUCACUGGCCCGGUACUGACGCUGAGGUGCGAAAGCGUGGGGAGCAAACAGG
rnacentral:rRNA from 1 species